rnacentral:rRNA from 1 species
UACGAAGGGUGCAAGCGUUAAUCGGAAUUAUUGGGCGUAAAGGGCUUGUAGGUGGUUCUUUAAGUUAGAUGUGAAAACCCUGGGCUACAACCCUGGGACGUGCAUUUAAUACUGGAGGGCUAGAGUAUAGUAGAGGAGAGGGGAAUUCCUGGUGUAGCAGUGAAAUGCGUAGAGAUCAGGAGGAAUACCGGUGGCGAAGGCGACUUUCUGGACGAAUACUGACGCUGAGGCGCGAAAGCGUGGGGAGCAAACAGGAUUAGAAACCCCGGUAGU